rnacentral:lncRNA from 1 species
AUGUCAGCAAGUAGAUAUUUACCACUAAAUUAUCCAUUUGUCAAAAUUUUACCUCCUUUCUUGUCUUUCAGGGACCUCCAGGACCUCCUGGCAAGCCAGGAUUACCAGGAAAGAGAGGGCCCAGGGGUCCCCUUGGUCCGCAUGGAAACCCAGGCCACCCAGGGACUGCCGGACCCAAGGUAUGUACCACUGAAUACAGAUUUGUAAUGCAUUUGUGGAUGCUAACAAACUAGUUUGUUGGAGCUGUGAGGCCCCUUUUGGUUAUGCUUUGUUUUGAUAGUCCACUUUAGACAUACUACUCUCUAUAAGUAACUUUCCAACUACAUGUCAACUAAUUCGCAUUAAUUUGCAACUACAUGUCUACUUACUCUCAGAGUAGACUGUUAGGUUAGGUUUAGGGUUAGUAGAAUAAGUUGACAUAUACUUGCAAAGUUUCUCAUAGUCACUAUGUUGUAUGUUGUGGACCCAUCAAAAUAAAGUGUUAGAAGAUAUUAACCAGACAGUCUACUAAUACUCUAAUGACUGCUAGUUGACAUGUAGCUGCAGAGUUACUUACUGUUAGUAGAAUGUCUAAAGUGGACAAUCAAAAUAAAGUGUUAACCCCACUUUUGUCUGUUCUUGUUUAGUUUUGUUUGUUUUUUGUUUUACGAAGCAAUU